AUUAGAUACCCUGGUAGUCCACACGGUAAACGAUGAAUACUCGCUGUUUGCGAUAUACAGCAAGCGGCCAAGCGAAAGCGUUAAGUAUUCCACCUGGGGAGUACGCCGGCAACGGUGAAACUCAAAGGAAUUGACGGGGGCCCGCACAAGCGGAGGAACAUGUGGUUUAAUUCGAUGAUACGCGAGGAACCUUACCCGGGCUUAAAUUGCAGAUGAAUUACGGUGAAAGCCGUAAGCCGCAAGGCAUCUGUGAAGGUGCUGCAUGGUUGUCGUCAGCUCGUGCCGUGAGGUGUCGGCUUAAGUGCCAUAACGAGCGCAACCCUUGUUGUCAGUUACUAACAGGUUCCGCUGAGGACUCUGACAAGACUGCCAUCGUAAGAUGUGAGGAAGGUGGGGAUGACGUCAAAUCAGCACGGCCCUUACGUCCGGGGCUACACACGUGUUACAAUGGGGGGUACAGAGGGUCGCUACCACGCGAGUGGAUGCCAAUCCCCAAAACCUCUCUCAGUUCGGACUGGAGUCUGCAACCCGACUCCACGAAGCUGGAUUCGCUAGUAAUCGCGCAUCAGCCACGGCGCGGUGAAUACGUUCCCGGGCCUUGUACACACCGCCCGUCAAGCCAUGAAAGCCGGGGGCGCCUGAAGUCCGUGACCGCGAGGGUCGGCCUAGGGUGAAACCGGUGAUUGGGGCUAAGUCGUAACAAG
rnacentral:rRNA from 1 species